UUAAAAGAUUUAGAUGCACUAUUGUAAAGUGGCUGUUCCACUGGAUGUCUUAAGGUGAACGCACCAAUUUGUAAGUCGAUCUGGAUAAGAGCGUCUGCUAAAUGACUUAAAUGUAAAUGUAAAUGUAGAUUGAGGGGGAAACAACUAUUUCAUCCAUUUUAGAAUAAGGCUGUAACAUAAGAAAAUGUGAAAAAAGUCCAGGGGUUUGAAUACUUUCCAAAGGCACUGUUACAUCUCUGUCAUUGAACAACCCCAUGCCACAUCUCUUUCAUAAGUUCUUCAAAAAAAAUAACAGCUAAUUUACAAACAUUUCUGAAAAUGGAUAUAUAGGGUUUGGAAUUAAACUCUUAAUUUACGUUACUUCUUGAUGAAUUGAUUUUUACAUAACUAGCCUCGUUGAGAACCCCAGGCUUUCCCUAAUCAGGAAAGCCUGGGGAAGUCAAUGGUAGAAAAUGUCUAAAAAGGGUUGGAGACCCAGUGUAAAUCAGUGACUCCCGGCAACACGUCAAACCCAUCAACGACCUUGCUUGGGCAGAGUUCCAAAGCGAGAGGAAAUAUGCUCUGACAUCGUAGUGCGAAGUUUCCCACUCACAGUCUCAUACAGUAUGUUGCCUGACUAUAAUAUUUUAUCUUGAUACGUUAAUAAAUACCUACUGUGUUCAUUUUGGCAUGUCUAGAAUAUCCAUUGUAAUGUGCGUAGACCGCAGAUUAACUAACAAAGAAUUGGUAGCUAACUAGCUACCCACGAACAUUGAUUAUUAUGUUACAAGCUUGUGAUGACUUUAUGUAGUCAUCUUGUUUCAUCUCUAUUGGUCAAAGGUAAUACAGUAGCACGGGAGUGCGCACUGCUUCUCAAAUGUACAUUUUCAUGCCUUCUCCACACUCGUCCUCACACGAACCUUCUAAAUAAAACGUCCUCGGAGUGACACAUGUCAAAACACGCAGCACCCAAUCUAUGGGCAUGUGGGGUGGGAGCGGGGUUCUUGAAAUGUACAUUAAAUGCAGCACUCCAAUCUAGCUGUUUCGGCCAAUACAAACAUCUUCAGACUUCCAAAGGAGCGGCGUGACAACAACGUGAUUUGGAGGUAUGGUAACACGAGACUAUUACAUUACAUCUACACACAAUAUUUGACAUAUCUGCACUAAGUAUUUAUUUUCUCUCAAACUCAUUUAUGACAAUAACACCAUUAUCUUACGGUACUAUCAACCAGAGGUGUGGACUCGAGUCACAUGGCUUGGACUCGAGUCGGACUUGUUGUUCCCUCGGUCCUGACCCUGAAUCACCACCUGGAGCAGCGGAAGCCUCAAGUCCAUUUCCUGAGUGGCCUGGUCAGAAGUCUCCAGGCAUCCCCGAACAAAUAUUUCUUGGAAUCUUCAUCAAUGGGAAAAUGGCCAGGACACAAGAUGGAAUCACUGCCCAUUUUUCAGAUCCAGUCUACCUCAAAGCAGCUGCCGUGGAUCUGGCUUUUUCUCUGAUGUGGGUAGAGCACCAUGUGCUGGUCAAGGAGAAGGUCAAAGAGGAGGUGGCACAAAUAUUAUUGAGUUAAAUAACUGAUUCUGCAAGAUGCUGAAGGGACUGAGCAAGCUGUGCCUCUUGUUGAUGAGUAAGAGCGAGAGGACCAUAGUCUUGGACAAGAAAAAUGGCUUUUUGCAGCACACUGUAAGAGGCACACUGUAAGAGGCAGAAGAAAGCUGUUGGGACCACUACAGCUAAGUCACUACCUCUGGGCGAUGGACGUGAAGGCUCUUCCUUCACUGUCCCGAGUGGCCAACGGGGUCUUGGCAGUGCGUCCAGUGCUUUGGUGGAGCGUGUCUUCAGCCAUGGUGGCAUCAUACUGCAGCCUCAUCGUGCACAAAUGACUGACAGACUUUUAUCGAAUUUGGUCUUUUGCAAAUGCAAUGCAUCAUAGGCCCUGAGAUAAGAGAAAAAAUGUAACUGUUUAUGCAUUACACACACACACACAAACACACGUAGUCUCCAUGUUCAGGUUUUAUCUCCCAACUUUGGGAUCUGUAUUUUUUUUCUCAGGCAUACAGGCCAGUGUUCAAAUUGUAGGCCUACUUGAAGUUCAGUAGCAGUUGUUUUGAUGUACCUUUUAAUAAAUGUAACUUUAUGGCAGGAUUGUUUUAGGUGUCUAAAAUAUAUCUGGAUAGAGACAGAGAGCACUACAAUAUUUUGUUUUUGUUGUCAUAUUGAUGUAUUUCCAUGGAAUUAUAACAUUUAUUUGUAAAGUAAUAAAUAUAUAUAUAUUUUUAAA